UGGGGAAUAUUGCACAAUGGGCGCAAGCCUGAUGCAGCCAUGCCGCGUGUAUGAAGAAGGCCUUCGGGUUGUAAAGUACUUUCAGAGGGGAGGAAGGCGAUGUGGUUAAUAACCGCGUCGAUUGACGUUACCCGCAGAAGAAGCACCGGCUAACUCCGUGCCAGCAGCCGCGGUAAUACGGAGGGUGCAAGCGUUAAUCGGAAUUACUGGGCGUAAAGCGCACGCAGGCGGUCUGUCAAGUCGGAUGUGAAAUCCCCGUGCUCAACCUGGGAACUGCAUCCGAAACUGGCAGGCUUGAGUCUCGUAGAGGGGGGUAGAAUUCCAGGUGUAGCGGUGAAAUGCGUAGAGAUCUGGAGGAAUACCGGUGGCGAAGGCGGCCCCCUGGACGAAGACUGACGCUCAGGUGCGAAAGCGUGGGGAGCAAACA
rnacentral:rRNA from 1 species